rnacentral:rRNA from 1 species
UACGUAGGGUGCAAGCGUUGUCCGGAAUUAUUGGGCGUAAAGAGCUUGUAGGCGGUUUGUCGCGUCUGCUGUGAAAUUUCGGGGCUCAACCCCGAACUUGCAGUGGGUACGGGCAGACUAGAGUGUGGUAGGGGAGACUGGAAUUCCUGGUGGUAGCGGUGAAAUGCGCAGAUAUCAGGAGGAACACCGAUGGCGAAGGCAGGUCUCUGGGCCAUAACUGACGCUGAGAAGCGAAAGCAUGGGAGCGAACAGG